GGGGAUUUAGCUCAGAGGCAUAAGCACCUGCCUUGCAAGCAGGCAGUCCUGAGUUUAAUCCCUG
rnacentral:tRNA from 1 species